rnacentral:rRNA from 1 species
AGAGUUUGAUCAUGGCUCAGGACGAACGCUGGCGGCGUGCUUAACACAUGCAAGUCGAACGGAGGUUAUUUUGAAACUUAGUGAUAGAUAACCUUUAGUGGCGGACGGGUGAGUAACGCGUGGAUAACCUGCCUACAUGCCUGGGACAACACCGGGAAACUGGUGCUAAUACCGGAUACGCUCUUGUAUGCACAUGCAUAUAAGAGGAAAGGAGCAAUCCGCAUAUAGAUGGGUCCGCGUCCCAUUAGCUAGUUGGAGGUGUAGGAGACCCCCAAGGCGACGAUGGGUAGCCGGCCUGAGAGGGUGGACGGCCACACUGGAACUGAGACACGGUCCAGACUCCUACGGGAGGCAGCAGUGGGGAAUCUUCCGCAAUGGGCGAAAGCCUGACGGAGCAACGCCGCGUGAGUGAAGAAGGCCUUCGGGUCGUAAAACUCUGUCUUCAGGGAAGAAUAAAAUGACGGUACCUGAGGAGGAAGCCCCGGCUAACUACGUGCCAGCAGCCGCGGUAAAACGUAGGGGGCGAGCGUUGUCCGGAAUUACUGGGCGUAAAGGGCGCGUAGGCGGUCAUUUAAGUCAGAGGUGAAAACUACCGGCUCAACCGGUAGCCUGCCUUUGAAACUGGAUGACUUGAGGGCAGGAGAGGGGAGUGGAAUUCCCAGUGUAGCGGUGAAAUGCGUAGAUAUUGGGAGGAACACCAGUGGCGAAGGCGGCUCUCUGGCCUGUUUCUGACGCUGAGGCGCGAAAGCGUGGGGAGCGAACGGGAUUAGAUACCCCGGUAGUCCACGCCGUAAACGAUGGGUGCUAGGUGUAGGAGGUAUCGACCCCUUCUGUGCCGUAGCUAACGCAAUAAGCACCCCGCCUGGGGAGUACGGCCGCAAGGUUGAAACUCAAAUGAAUUGACGG